rnacentral:rRNA from 1 species
AUUGAACGCUGGCGGCAGGCCUAACACAUGCAAGUCGAGCGGAUGAAGGGAGCUUGCUCCUGGAUUCAGCGGCGGACGGGUGAGUAAUGCCUAGGAAUCUGCCUGGUAGUGGGGGAUAACGUCCGGAAACGGGCGCUAAUACCGCAUACGUCCUGCGGGAGAAAGUGGGGGAUCUUCGGACCUCACGCUAUCAGAUGAGCCUAGGUCGGAUUAGCUAGUUGGUGGGGUAAAGGCCUACCAAGGCGACGAUCCGUAACUGGUCUGAGAGGAUGAUCAGUCACACGGGAACUGAGAAACGGUCCAGACUCCUACGGGAGGCAGCAGUGGGGAAUAUUGGACAAAGGGCGAAAGCCUGAUCCAGCCAUGCCGCGUGGGUGAAGAAGGUCUUCGGAUUGUAAAGCACUUUAAGUUGGGAGGAAGGGCAGUAAGUUAAUACCUUGCUGUUUUGACGUUACCAACAGAAUAAGCACCGGCUAACUUCGUG